rnacentral:rRNA from 1 species
GACGAACGCUGGCGGCGUGCUUAACACAUGCAAGUCGAACGGAAAGGCCUCUUUCGGGGGGUACUCGAGUGGCGAACGGGUGAGUAACACGUGAGUAACCUGCCCUUGACUUUGGGAUAACUUCAGGAAACUGGGGCUAAUACCGGAUAGGAGCUCCUGCUGCAUGGUGGGGGUUGGAAAGUUUCGGCGGUUGGGGCUGGACUCGCGGCUUAUCAGCUUGUUGGUGGGGUAGUGGCUUACGAAGGCUUUGACGGGUAGCCGGCCUGAGAGCGUGACCGGCCACAUUGGGACUGCGAUACGGCCCAGACUCCUACGGGAGGCAGCAGUGGGGAAUAUUGCACAAUGGGUGGAAGCCUGAUGCAGCAACGCCGUGUGCGGGAUGACGGCCUUCGGGUUGUAAACCGCUUUCGCUCAUGACGAAGCUUUGUGUGACGGUAGUGGGGAAAGAAGCACCGGCUAACUACGU